CCAAUCGAACUCGGAGAUAGCUGGUUCUCCCCGAAAUAGCUUUAGGGCUAGCCUCGAUUUAGAUUAUUGGGGGUAGAGCACUGAAUGGGCUAGGGGGCCACAAAGCUUACUGAACCCUAUCAAACUGCGAAUACCAAUUAAUUGAUGAUCGGGAGUCAGACAGUGAGAGAUAAGUUCCAUUGUCGAAAGGGAAACAGCCCAGAUCCACGACUAAGGUCCCAAAAUACACGUUAAGUGGAAAAGGAUGUGCAGUUGCACAGACAACCAGGAUGUUGGCUUAGAAGCAGCCACUCAUUCAAAGAGUGCGUAAUAGCUCACUGGUCGAGUGAAUGUGCGCCGAAAAUAUACCGGGGCUAAACGUGAUACCGAAGUCUGGGGAUCAAGAAAUUGAUCGGUAGGGGAGCAACGCAUACGGACAGAAGCAGAAGCGGGAGCGACUGUGGACUGUAUGGGAGAGAGAAUGCCGGCAUGAGUAGCGAGAGCAAAGUGAGAAUCUUUGCCGUCGAAAGCCUAAGGUUUCCUGAGGAAGGCUCGUCCUCUCAGGGUAAGUCGGGACCUAAGCCGAGGACAAGAGUCGUAGGCGAUGGACAACAGGUUGAUAUUCCUGUACCGUACUUAAGCGUUUGACUGAAGCAGUGACACAGAAGGAUAGACAGACCGGGGGAAUGGUAGACUCCGGCCAAGCAGUGAGGCUGACAUGUAGUGAAGUACGCAUGUUAAGGCUGGGCUGUGAUGGGGACUGAAGAUUAGUAAGGAAGCUGUUGAAUUCACACUGGCGAGAAAAGCUGCUAAGGAGCGAGAGUAUGCCCGUACCGCAAACCGACACAGGUAGGCGAGGAGAGAAUCCUAAGACGAGCGGGAGAACCCUUGUUAAGGAACUCGGCAAAAUGACUCCGUAACUUAGGGAGAAGGAGUGCCUCGAGAGAGGCCGCAGAGAAUAGGCCCAAGCGACUGUUUACCAAAAACACAGGUCUGUGCGAAGUAGAGAUACGACGUAUACGGGCUGACGCCUGCCCAGUGCCGGAAGGUUAAGGGGAAGUGUUAGGGCAACCGAAGCACGGAACUUAAGCCCCGGUGAACGGCGGCCGUAACUAUAACGGUCCUAAGGUAGCGAAAUUCCUUGUCGGGUAAGUUCCGACCCGCACGAAUGGCGUAACGACUUGGGCACUGUCUCAACAAGGGACCCGGCGAAAUUGUAGUAUGUGUGAAGAUGCACAUUACCCGCGAUAGGACGGAAAGACCCCGUAGAGCUUUACUGUAGUUUAACAUUGGAUUUUGAUAACACAUGUACAGGAUAGGUGGGAGGCUGAGAAACCGGCACGCCAGUGCCGAUGGAGCCGCUGUUGGGAUACCACUCUUGUGUUAUUGGAGUUCUAACGAAGUGCCGUAAACCGGGCUUCGGACAGUGUUAGAUGGGCAGUUUGACUGGGGCGGUCGCCUCCGAAAGAGUAACGGAGGCGUCCAAAGGUUCCCUCAGAAUGGUUGGAAACCAUUCACAGAGUGCAAAGGCAGAAGGGAGCUUGACUGCGAGACCGACAGGUCGAGCAGGUACGAAAGUAGGGCUUAGUGAUCCGGCGGUAUGAGAGUGGAAUUGCCGUCGCUCAACGGAUAAAAGCUACCUCGGGGAUAACAGGCUGAUCUCCCCCAAGAGUUCACAUCGACGGGGAGGUUUGGCACCUCGAUGUCGGCUCA
rnacentral:rRNA from 1 species